UAUGGAAUAAUCAGUUUAAUACAAAAAAAUAAAAUAAAAAAAAAAUAACAACACAUAAUGUAAUAUACAGCAACAGUCCACAUCACAUUAGUUUGUUUGUUCUGUAUGUUUUUGAUAGGUUGUCUGGCUGUAUGGUGACAGAGGAGGGAUGUUGUUAUGUGACUUCAGCUCUGACUUCAAAUCCCUCAUGCUUGAGAGAGCUGGAUCUAAGCUAUAAUCACCCUGGAGAUUCAGGAGUCAAGAUGCUCUCUGAAAAACUGGAGGAUCCAAACUGCUCACUGGAUAAAUUCAAUGUGGAUCAUGGAGGAGAAUCCAUGAUGACAGCAGGACUAAAGAAAUAAAAAGAGUAAACAUGCUCUGACUCAUAACACUUGCACAUGUGGAAGAAAACGGCCGGUGCGCUACAGAUCACACAAUUCAAUGGACAAUUAAUAGAAAUGUUAUUCUGUAUAAAGAACAUGUGAGAAUAAAUAUGUUCUCAAAUACCAGU